UCAGGCCGGGGGCGAGCACGUAUCAUCCCAGCGUGGUCAGACCAAAAGCUGGGCGGUCCCAGCACCGCAGCCGAGGCAACAAUCCCCCCGGGUGGAAGGGGGGGGGAGCCAGACCGCACCCCAGGGAGUCCUGCACGGCCUGCCCUCCCCCUCCCCCCGCCGGCUCCCACCUCGCCCCUCCCGCGGCUCCCACCAUCGGCGCGGGUCCUGCGCGCACCCACGGCUCUGCCUCCCGAGGAGGCUGUGUGCUCACUUUGCAAAACAGAAAUUUAUAGCCCAAGUAAUUGAUCACGGUGCUCCUGCCUCCCUGCAUCCUAACUCCCUUCUCCCCGCGCCCGCUCUCCCCUCGCUUUUUUUCUCGGCGCCAUCUGUGGUGUCAGAGAGAAGGAAGCCAGAGACGGAGGGGGCGUGCUGGUCCCACGUGUGCCAGUUACAGUCACGUGAAACUGUCCCCGUCUGCACCACGGAGGCGCCGGUAACACCUGCUCGCAGGCCCCCUCCCACCCGCUGGCCUCACGGAAAGCUCAUGGGAACCUUCCAGAAAGACUGCAAAAAGCUCCUUUCACUGGCCCUGCUGAUGAGGUCCUGAGGCUGGGACCCACGGCCCAAGUCUCCGCACCCCACCCUCCAGCCCCAGCCUCCCCGCUCCAGCCAGGACUGGGCCCCCCCUGUCCUUUCUGGGUGGAGCUGGUUCCAGGACACGGGGCUCAUCUUCCCCGCUGCUCAGCCCUCGGUCCAGCUUUGUCUCUCAUCUGGGCGCCUCCUGCCAGCCCUCCCAAGGUGGUACCCAAGGCCAAGGCCGGCUCUCCCCUGCUGCGCCCCCCCCAGCUCCUCCUGUCCCCUGCAGCUCCUGGGCUGCACCGGGCAGUGCUGGCCACACCAGGGGCUGCAGGGCUGCGAGCGAUGCGGCAGCACCCAGAACAAACAGAAUUUUUUUUUGCAACUAGAGGGGGAAGCACAGAGCUAAAAAUAAAACGAACCCCUCAGUAUCUGUCA
rnacentral:lncRNA from 1 species